rnacentral:lncRNA from 1 species
AUGAUAAUGAUUCUCUCUCUUGUCCAGUCUUCUGUGAUCAGAUCGAAUCCUCUUCAGAAUGGCUCCGGAGGUGGUGCUCACUGCGGUCCGGUGCUGCUGCUGCUGAGACCCGAGAGCCCGCGGAACCGACAGAGACACGAACCGGCGCACAACCGACACCGACACCCGCCGCCAUAUCACCAGCGGACCCACCGACGAGAGGAGGGGUGUGUGUGUGUGUGUGUGUGUGUGUUGUUGACACUAUAUAUAGCAGCUCAGCGUGUGGUUUGCUCCACAUGUGUGUCUGCAGAGCUCUCUCUAUAACCACACUGAGAGCACAGGAAGAUCUUCUGCUCAUUCAGAGCUCAGGUGAGUUCAUCAUUCCGUCUCCUUCAGGAAUCAAACAGCGCUGACAUUCACUGGAUAGGUCAGGGCCGGCCCAAGCCUUUAUGGGGCCCUAAGCUGAAAUAUACAUGAGGGCCCCUCGGUGUGCCAAUACGGCUGAUUAUUGUCAGUGUUUGAUUAUUCACAAAACACACACAUUAUCAGUUAUAUUUGUUGUAGCUGUGUUGCUGAUCAGACCAAUGUCUGUCUGGCAUGUUUUUACCCUUCUGCGGUUGUAACAGUAUUAAACCCACAUGAGUGAACAGGUGUUCAUUUGCACUUUAACAUUCAAAGUCUCACAGUACUAAGUGGCAAACUAAACGUGAUGUACUAAGAAGUAGCUAAAUAAACCAGCAGACAAUGCAUUUAAAGAGCAGAAUGUUAUUUUAACAACAUACUUUAUUAAACACAGCAGCAAACCGUCUGGACAUGUAAAACAACUCCUCUUAAUCUGUAGCUGAGGUGUAAUGAUAUCAGAAUAUAGCAAAGACCCCAAAGGUAGGUCAAGUCACCUUUAUUUAUAGUGCUUUAUACAAACUGAUUGUGCAGCUUUACAGUGUUAAAAAGGAAAAUAGAUUGUUAAUAAUGCAAGAAGACAAUAACCAAGUUAUUUUUCAGUUAAAGUCAGUUCAUUGAUGAUUCAGUGAUGUCAUCAUCCAGCUCUCUUCAACAGUGUCUGUGUAAUCAGUCAAGUGUCCUCAACUAAGCAAGCCAAAGGAACCAAAACUCCAUCGGUGACAGAAAUGGAGAAAAAACCUUGGGAGAAACCAGACUCAGUCGGGGGCCAGUUCUCCUCUGACCAGACGAAACCAGCAGUUCAAUUCCAGGCUGCAGCAAAGUCAGAUUGUGCAGAAGAAUCAUCUGUUUCCUGUGGUCUUGUCCCGGUGGUCGUCUGAGACAAGGUCUUUACAGGGGAUCUGUCUCUGGGGCUCUAGUCCUGGUCUCCGCUGUCUUUCAGGGCUGUAGAGGUCCUUUCUAGGUGCUGAUCCACCAUCUGAUCUGGAUACAGACUGGAUCCGGGUGACCGCAGUGACCAUCUGACUUGGAUACAGACUGGAUCUGGUGGCUACGGUGACCUCAGAAUAAGAGAGAAACAGACUAAUAUGAGCGUUCAAUUCCAGGCUGCAGCAAAGUCAGAUUGUGCAGAAGAAUCAUCUGUUUCCUGUGGUCUUGUCCCGGUGGUCGUCUGAGACAAGGUCUUUACAGGGGAUCUGUCUCUGGGGCUCUAGUCCUGGUCUCCGCUGUCUUUCAGGGCUGUAGAGGUCCUUUCUAGGUGCUGAUCCACCAUCUGAUCUGGAUACAGACUGGAUCCGGGUGACCGCAGUGACCAUCUGACUUGGAUACAGACUGGAUCUGGUGGCUACGGUGACCUCAGAAUAAGAGAGAAACAGACUAAUAUGAGCGUAGAUGCCAUUCUUCUAACGAUGUAGCAAGUACAUCAGGUGUUAUGGGCAGUGGCUAAUGCUAAACGUAAAUACAGUAAGAUUGUUAUUCACGCCGGUGCUAAUAAUGUUCAACUUCGCCAGUUGGAGAUCACUAAAAAUAACAUUAAAG